rnacentral:rRNA from 1 species
GUUUGAUCCUGGCUCAGGACGAACGCUGGCGGCGUGCCUAAUACAUGCAAGUCGAGCGGACCAAAGGGAGCUUGCUCCUGGAGGUUAGCGGCGAACGGGUGAGUAACACGUGGGCAACCUGCCUGUAAGACUGGGAUAACAUCGAGAAAUCGGUGCUAAUACCGGAUAAUAAAAAGAACUGCAUGGUUCUUUUUUGAAAGAUGGUUUCGGCUAUCACUUACAGAUGGGCCCGCGGCGCAUUAGCUAGUUGGUGAGGUAACGGCUCACCAAGGCAACGAUGCGUAGCCGACCUGAGAGGGUGAUCGGCCACACUGGGACUGAGACACGGCCCAGACUCCUACGGGAGGCAGCAGUAGGGAAUCUUCCGCAAUGGACGAAAGUCUGACGGAGCAACGCCGCGUGAGUGAUGAAGGUUUUCGGAUCGUAAAACUCUGUUGUUAGGGAAGAACAAGUGCCGUUCGAAAGGGCGGCACCUUGACGGUACCUAACGAGAAAGCCACGGCUAACUACGUG